rnacentral:rRNA from 1 species
UUAAGCGACUAAGCGUACACGGUGGAUGCCCUGGCAGUCAGAGGCGAUGAAGGACGUGCUAAUCUGCGAUAAGCGUCGGUAAGGUGAUAUGAACCGUUAUAACCGGCGAUUUCCGAAUGGGGAAACCCAGUGUGUUUCGACUCACUAUCAUUAACUGAAUCCAUAGGUUAAUGAGGCGAACCGGGGGAACUGAAACAUCUAAGUACCCCGAGGAAAAGAAAUCAACCGAGAUUCCCCCAGUAGCGGCGAGCGAACGGGGAGCAGCCCAGAGUCUGAAUCAGUGUGUGUGUUAGUGGAAGCGUCUGGAAAGGCGCGCGAUACAGGGUGACAGCCCCGUACACAAAAAUGCACAUAUUGUGAGCUCGAUGAGUAGGGCGGGACACGUGGUAUCCUGUCUGAAUAUGGGGGGACCAUCCUCCAAGGCUAAAUACUCCUGACUGACCGAUAGUGAACCAGUACCGUGAGGGAAAGGCGAAAAGAACCCCGGCGAGGGGAGUGAAAAAGAACCUGAAACCGUGUACGUACAAGCAGUGGGAGCCUCUUUUAUGGGGUGACUGCGUACCUUUUGUAUAAUGGGUCAGCGACUUAUAUUCUGUAGCAAGGUUAACCGAAUAGGGGAGCCGAAGGGAAACCGAGUCUUAACUGGGCGUUAAGUUGCAGGGUAUAGACCCGAAACCCGGUGAUCUAGCCAUGGGCAGGUUGAAGGUUGGGUAACACUAACUGGAGGACCGAACCGACUAAUGUUGAAAAAUUAGCGGAUGACUUGUGGCUGGGGGUGAAAGGCCAAUCAAACCGGGAGAUAGCUGGUUCUCCCCGAAAGCUAUUUAGGUAGCGCCUCGUGAAUUCAUCUCCGGGGGUAGAGCACUGUUUCGGCAAGGGGGUCAUCCCGACUUACCAACCCGAUGCAAACUGCGAAUACCGGAGAAUGUUAUCACGGGAGACACACGGCGGGUGCUAACGUCCGUCGUGAAGAGGGAAACAACCCAGACCGCCAGCUAAGGUCCCAAAGUCAUGGUUAAGUGGGAAACGAUGUGGGAAGGCCCAGACAGCCAGGAUGUUGGCUUAGAAGCAGCCAUCAUUUAAAGAAAGCGUAAUAGCUCACUGGUCGAGUCGGCCUGCGCGGAAGAUGUAACGGGGCUAAACCAUGCACCGAAGCUGCGGCAGCGACGCUUAUGCGUUGUUGGGUAGGGGAGCGUUCUGUAAGCCUGUGAAGGUGUGCUGUGAGGCAUGCUGGAGGUAUCAGAAGUGCGAAUGCUGACAUAAGUAACGAUAAAGCGGGUGAAAAGCCCGCUCGCCGGAAGACCAAGGGUUCCUGUCCAACGUUAAUCGGGGCAGGGUGAGUCGACCCCUAAGGCGAGGCCGAAAGGCGUAGUCGAUGGGAAACAGGUUAAUAUUCCUGUACUUGGUGUUACUGCGAAGGGGGGACGGAGAAGGCUAUGUUGGUCGGGCGACGGUUGUCCCGGUUUAAGCGUGUAGGCUGGUUUUCCAGGCAAAUCCGGAAAAUCAAGGCUGAGGCGUGAUGACGAGGCACUACGGUGCUGAAGCAACAAAUGCCCUGCUUCCAGGAAAAGCCUCUAAGCAUCAGGUAACAUCAAAUCGUACCCCAAACCGACACAGGUGGUCAGGUAGAGAAUACCAAGGCGCUUGAGAGAACUCGGGUGAAGGAACUAGGCAAAAUGGUGCCGUAACUUCGGGAGAAGGCACGCUGAUAUGUAGGUGAAGUCCCUCGCGGAUGGAGCUGAAAUCAGUCGAAGAUACCAGCUGGCUGCAACUGUUUAUUAAAAACACAGCACUGUGCAAACACGAAAGUGGACGUAUACGGUGUGACGCCUGCCCGGUGCCGGAAGGUUAAUUGAUGGGGUCAGCGCAAGCGAAGCUCUUGAUCGAAGCCCCGGUAAACGGCGGCCGUAACUAUAACGGUCCUAAGGUAGCGAAAUUCCUUGUCGGGUAAGUUCCGACCUGCACGAAUGGCGUAAUGAUGGCCAGGCUGUCUCCACCCGAGACUCAGUGAAAUUGAACUCGCUGUGAAGAUGCAGUGUACCCGCGGCAAGACGGAAAGACCCCGUGAACCUUUACUAUAGCUUGACACUGAACAUUGAGCCUUGAUGUGUAGGAUAGGUGGGAGGCUUUGAAGUGUGGACGCCAGUCUGCAUGGAGCCGACCUUGAAAUACCACCCUUUAAUGUUUGAUGUUCUAACGUUGACCCGUAAUCCGGGUUGCGGACAGUGUCUGGUGGGUAGUUUGACUGGGGCGGUCUCCUCCUAAAGAGUAACGGAGGAGCACGAAGGUUGGCUAAUCCUGGUCGGACAUCAGGAGGUUAGUGCAAUGGCAUAAGCCAGCUUGACUGCGAGCGUGACGGCGCGAGCAGGUGCGAAAGCAGGUCAUAGUGAUCCGGUGGUUCUGAAUGGAAGGGCCAUCGCUCAACGGAUAAAAGGUACUCCGGGGAUAACAGGCUGAUACCGCCCAAGAGUUCAUAUCGACGGCGGUGUUUGGCACCUCGAUGUCGGCUCAUCACAUCCUGGGGCUGAAGUAGGUCCCAAGGGUAUGGCUGUUCGCCAUUUAAAGUGGUACGCGAGCUGGGUUUAGAACGUCGUGAGACAGUUCGGUCCCUAUCUGCCGUGGGCGCUGGAGAACUGAGGGGGGCUGCUCCUAGUACGAGAGGACCGGAGUGGACGCAUCACUGGUGUUCGGGUUGUCAUGCCAAUGGCACUGCCCGGUAGCUAAAUGCGGAAGAGAUAAGUGCUGAAAGCAUCUAAGCACGAAACUUGCCCCGAGAUGAGUUCUCCCUGACCCUUUAAGGGUCCUGAAGGAACGUUGAAGACGACGACGUUGAUAGGCCGGGUGUGUAAGCGCAGCGAUGCGUUGAGCUAACCGGUACUAAUGAACCGUGAGGCUUAACCUU